CAGUAGCCACGGUAAUACGUAGGUCCCGAGCGUUGUCCGGAUUUAUUGGGCGUAAAGCGAGCGCAGGCGGUUAGAUAAGUCUGAAGUUAAAGGCUGUGGCUUAACCAUAGUACGCUUUGGAAACUGUUUAACUUGAGUGCAGAAGGGGAGAGUGGAAUUCCAUGUGUAGCGGUGAAAUGCGUAGAUAUAUGGAGGAACACCGGUGGCGAAAGCGGCUCUCUGGUCUGUAACUGACGCUGAGGCUCGAAAGCGUGGGGAGCAAACAGGAUUAGAUACCCCAGUAGUCCCUGUCUCUUAUACA
rnacentral:rRNA from 1 species